rnacentral:rRNA from 1 species
AACGAACGCUGGCGGCAUGCCUAACACAUGCAAGUCGAACGAAACCUUCGGGUCUAGUGGCGCACGGGUGCGUAACGCGUGGGAACAUGCCCUUGGGUUCGGAAUAACUCCCCGAAAGGGGUGCUAAUACCGGAUAAUGUCUUCGAACCGAAGGUUUAUCGACUUUGGAUGGGCCCGCGUUGCAUUAGCUUGUUAUGAGGGUAAAAGCCUACGAAGGCGAGGAUCCAUACCUGGUCUGAGAGGAUGAUCAGCCACACUGGGACUGAGAAACGGCCCAGAAUCCUACGGGAGGGACGAGAGGGUAAUAUUGGAAAAUGGGGGGAAGAAUGAAGCAGUACGGAUGCGUGAGUGAUGAAGGUAUUAGGGUUGUAAAGUUCUUUUACCCGUGAUGAUAAUGACGGUACCGGGAGAAUAAGCUCCGGCUAACUUCGUG